GUAUACUUCAAAAUGCAAAUGAGAGAACAAAUGGCACAUAUUCCUAAAUUUUUUAAUUUCAUAAUUAUUUUUCUUUUCAUGUUUUUGGUUGUAACGGAUGGUAUCGUCGUAACAAUUUUCAAAUGCCACUCUAAUAAAGAAUGUCGUAUAAAAAUGACUACUUGCAUUCGUCCCAGAAAGCCAAAGUGUAUAGCAGGCAUAUGUAAAUGUUUUUAAUAUUGAGAAUAAGGCUAAGAUAUAUAAAGCACUGUUAAAUGACAAAAUGUUAGAGUGCAAGACAGGCCCAAGAGAUUCACAAAAAGGCUCAUAUGGCAGCAAGACUUUAUUAUGGGAUAAACAUGUUAUUUGAGAAACUAUUUUAAGUUUAAUUUUACUUUUCCUCCAAGCGGGCCUUAGGACCUAGAGUUCACAGUCCAGCAAAGCUGAUGUAUUUAAAUGAAUUUCUUGAAUUAAAAACCAAGCAGAAAUUUUAUCA